UGGGUAACCUACCCUGGACUUUGGGAUAACCCUCGGAAACGGGGGCUAAUAACCGGAUAUGACGGCUCACCGCAUGGUGUGGUUGUGGAAAGUUUUUCGGUCUGGGAUGGGCUCGCGGCCUAUCAGCUUGUUGGUGGGGUGAUGGCCUACCAAGGCGACGACGGGUAGCCGGCCUGAGAGGGCGACCGGCCACACUGGGACUGAGACACGGCCCAGACUCCUACGGGAGGCA
rnacentral:rRNA from 1 species